ensembl:lncRNA
GGGAGAUACAAAGAAAAAAUACAGAAGAGGAAAGAAGUGGAUGAUGGAUUAUAAAGGAGAGGGAAUUCAUUUACAGAAAAGAGUUUGACUUGUGAUACUGAUUGACCUGCCUCUUUGAGGUACAUUCCAUAGUGGUGGAAAUUUUCACCUACCAAAAUAACAAGGCCAAUUUAAGCUGCUUGGUGCCAAGACAGUCAUGUGGGCUGAAGAGAAACUGCAGCAUUAGGUGCAUGCAGUGCCACAAAAACAAGCAACAUAAAUAGGGUCAUCCUGAGACAUCCAAAGAGGUUGUCAAGACUACAGCUACAGUUUACCAAGAAUCUGCUUUUGCUCCAUGGGGAGGGCUUAAACUUGGAGAUCAAAGUGUCAUGAUGAACACUUAGCUGGCAUGGAUUUCUGACAUGAAAAAUCAUCAAGUGCUAUCCUUUGCUGGACUGUGGCUCACCAUUCCUCUCAUUAGGCACAUGGCCAGGCUCCAUGGGGUAUGUGGAAGCUGCAAAGACUAACAUCUGGAUGUUUGUACAGGGGCUAAGCUGCUCAGGGGAAGAUCAGAUCAACAUGCAAGGGCAAAUAACAGGAAAAACUCACUGCAAAGAGGAGUGGCAGCUGUCAGAAAGUAGGGGUUACUGCUUGGGGCAAGCCUAUUUCUUAGAAGAAGAGUACGCUUUCCUGCAGUGAAAUAAUUAUUGUUUCUGAGAGACAGGAACCACUACAGAAUCACUUUUCAAUCUGCAAAAUCCAAGCAGUGACCACUUCAAAGCAAGAUAAAAGGAGACGUUGAUCUGCUUUAGCCUCUGACUGUUCCUAGAGUUUUCUACUUCUUGAAGACUUUCCUGGCAAAGGAAGUAUUGCUACAAGUGGAAGGAAGAAGCCUGCUGUGCUCUUCUCUGAAGAUAUGUCUUCUCCUUAAGCCUUCUAUCAGCAUGUGUCACAGUGGCAUUUUGCAAAUUUGCUGUGCAUUCCUACACACCAAAUGUUUAUUACUCAUUUUAAGAUGUUUCAUCAGAACAUGGGAAAAUAUGCUAAGGUAUCUGGCCCAGCUGUAUAUAGAAGGUGAUUCAGUCCAGUGUAACCAGUUUUAAAAAAAAUGUCCCUGCUUGUCCACCUUGGUGUGGUCUUGGAAAGCCUACGCCAGAGAUGAAAGCUGCUGACAUGCUUUUGAAGCAGGUUUCAGGGCAUACAUAUGCCAUUCCUGUGUGAAGUUCAGGCUCUUCAGGUAUGUAGAAAUCAGGAUACUCUUGCAGAGGUCAAAUGAACAGAGAAGUAGAGACCAGAGAGGACCAAGGAACAAAAGGGCUGCACUGCAGCUGAAAAUUCAUCCUACUCUCUUUGGAAUUGAGCAAAUCUCUUCCAAAGUGUAUAGUGCAAAUUUCCUGUUUAUCACAGAGGAAAAGAUAUGGACUUGAGCAUGAAUCUGUGGUCCUUAACCAGACUGCACCAGCUAGGAAGACUUGGUGAUUUGUUUGCUGUUGGAGAAAGACUCUUCAAUAUUUCUCCUUGAAAUCAGGUACCUUCUCACCAAGAACUUAGCAGAAGUAAUACUAUGAGUGGGUAGACAAAAGUGAUGUAGGGAAAAACAGAACUCUAAUACCACAAAGUGUUAAUACAGCAAAAUGCUACGCUGCUUUUCAAAAAGAGCACAUGCUGUCUAAUGGGACUUAUGUGCUUGCCUAAGCUAUGCAAAUACCACAUAGAUGUAUGUUGGGCCAGAACAAAAGCAGGACUUACAUGUUUGAUGAAAAGGCGGGUAGAAAGGAAAGAGGAAAGGUCAACAUUUAAAGGAAAAAAAGGAAAGGAAAACUUAUAUUGUGAGACAGGAGCUUGUAUUGUGGAGACAGGGAGAUGAGAAUAUGGGAUACAAGACAGGAUAAAGGUGUCUUACCUGUUGUGUGACCCAGUGCAGUGCCAGAUACAUAGCACUAGUAAAACUGGGUCGUUUCUUCUUCUCUUUCACUUUUAUUUCUGUUUGCUUUCUCUUCUGUGUCAUCCUUGAGCAUCUUGCAGUUCUUCUACAGUUUUAGCGUAGCCUGCUGACCAGAACUAUACCGUUAAAGUCAGCCCUGUGACAAGCUAUCAGGGUGAUCUCUGGUUCUUCUCUGUCCUUAGGUCCUGUAGCUGUCACUGUACUGGACAUGACGAAUGAGAGUCUCAGCCACAACCUUUGCUGGAGUUACAAGGAUGGGACUUAGAACUCCCUGAUCCUGUUUCGGGCUUUGCUGCCUUGCAGUUGUCAAAGUUGAGCAAUGUCCCUAGAGUUUCUGGUCACAAGCAGGCAAAAGCAUUCCUUGGUGCAGUACUGCUGCUGCCUGUGUCAAUGUUGUUGCAAAGGCAGAUUAAUUGGAGGUCUGUGGGAACCAUCUGCAAUCCAGAUAAUUCCACUUUAGCUGGAGCUUUUUGUUUUCUCAUUUUGGAAGGGUGCUUCAAAAAAACCCCCAAAAACAUCAUACUCUUAAAAUCAUUGCAGAGUUCAAAUAGGAAUCAAAACUGGUUUGAAUUAAACUUCUUGUGUAACCUCAGAUGUUAUUCUGUUGUACGUUGUCUUGCUUGCUGAAAUGUUUCUCUUUAAUUUUUUUCCCCUCAGCCAUAGGCACAUUAUCACUACAAGAGAUAAUGAGACUGAGUUCCCGUGGCUACCACACCAUGAAUCUGAACUGUCUCUUUACACCCCUAGGAAGCACUCCAUAGCCAUAGAUUGAGGCAGAAGCGUGAGGCUGUUCAUGUGGGAGGUUUGUCAUGCUGCUGUCCUAGAGAUAAGCAGAAAGCUUCACUGAACAAAGCUGCACUAGCAUUAACCACACAGCUCUUAGAGACAGCGCACAGGCACAUCCUAAUUAAUCACAAUUAUGCAAACUCAGGCAUUUGCAUAUAGCACUGUGCAUGGAGUUGCAGGGAAUUUGGCAGUGAUGCCUCCUUGCUGUGACUCAGCCAAGAAGGGCACCUGCCCCAGGAAAUCAGACAGAGACAAGACCCUGGGCUCUCCCAGCUGGGAACAAGGGAAAAAAACAAAGGCUUGCUUAAGGUUGCGGUGUAGCUUCUAUUUCCCUACUUAAUGAGGAUGCUACCUCUCUGCUUUAUACUUU